UUGCAGCUGACCUGCCUAUGUGUAUGUAUGUUUGUGUGUGUGUGUGUGUGUGUGUAUUUAAUUUAACAUAUAUAUAACAUAUAUAUUAUAUACAUUAUAUAUACAUAUAUAACAUAUAUAUUAUAUACAUUAUAUAUAUACAUAUAUAUAUAGCUUAACAUAUAUAUGUAUGUGUGUGUUUAAUUUUUUUAGGUUAUUUAUUUUUGAGAGAGUGAGAGAGCAAGUGUGUACAAGCAGGGGAGGGGCAGAGAGAGGGAGAGAGAGAAUCCCAAGCAGGCUCCGUGCUGUCAGUGCAGAGCUGGAUGUGGGGCUCAAUCUCAUGAACUAUGAGAUCAUGAACUGAGCUGAAAUCAAGAGCUGGAUGCUUAACUGACUGAGCCACCCAGGCGCCCUUGUUUUUGUUUUUACUAUAUGUAUAUAUGCAUAUAUAAUAUAGUUAUAUAUGUAGUAUAUAUUAUAUCAAUAUAAUAAUUAUAUUUUAUAUAGAGUAUAUAUAAUAAUUAUAGGGUAUAUGUUAUAUUAUAUACUAUUAUAUAUAUAUAUAUAUAUAUAUACAUAUACUAUAUACAUACAUCAAUGUUUUUUACUAUAUUGGAAAAUGUAUUUAUGAACUAUCUUUCAAAUAUAUUUAAGCCAAAAUUUCUCAGAGGGUAUCAAUUAAGGAGUAAAAUUACUGUAAUUUUGAGUAUGCAUGUGCCCAGCCUUAUAAGAUAAGCCAAACUAUUUUCCAAAAUGAUUAUUUGACCAAGCAGUAUGUGAGACUUUCCAUUUGGCUCAUAUUCUUGCCAGCAAGUACAUCUUUACACUGUCAUGCUGCUUAACUUUUACUAAUCUAGUGGUGUGGAAGGGUAUCUUGUUGUGCUGUGAAUCUGUAUUUCUCAGAUUACUCAUGAAGUUGAGCAUUUUUUCACUUGCUUGUUAGCAAUUUUUGUUUCCUCUUCAUCUGUUUUGUCCAGUUUUUUUUUUAAAGGUUUUGAUUUUUAAGUGAUCUCUACACCCAACUUGAGGCUCAAAUUUACAACCCCGAGAUCAAGAGUGGUAUGCUCCCCCGACUAAGCCAGACGGGCGCCCCCAAGAACUUCUUAUUCUUAAUUUAAUUAUAGGGGAGGAAAAAAAUUUCUUUCCUUUAUCCUCUUAUGUUCAGUAACUGGGAUCUUGCAAAUUAAAGUGACAAAAGACAGAUUAAUAGGAGAAAAAACCUAGAGUUUAUGUGUGCAAAGUGCAUGCACACAGUAGAACUCAGUGAUGAGCAGCUCAAAGGUUAGAAAUCAAGGGAUCAUACACCAUCUUAACAAAGGGCGGUAAGUUGUAGAGAAGGAAAAUGGCAUUGGGCUUCUAGGGGUGGUAAAUUGUAGGGAGGGAAACACAUGGGGGAAACUAAUGGAAGAGAAGGGUUAUUUUGGUAAUGUCCGUUAUACAGACUUAGUCUCAUGCAGUCUUGGGGUGAUAAGAGUGUCUCUGACAGUUCUCUUUUUCCUGGUAUGGGAAAAGAGAAGGGGAGCACAUUAAUAAAGGAAAAUUUAUACCCUGUUUUUAGGCAGAAAGCAGGAGGGUGGAAAGCUUUGCCUGUGUCUUCUAUUUCUCAGUUGCCUCAGACCAAAAUAAUGCUUAUGUCGAAGUGGCACAUUUUGGGGUGGCAUACUCUGAUGAAUCUAUCAGUCUUAUUAUUAAUGGUUAACACAUUGUAGUUUUUGUUUAAGACAUCUUUCCCGGGCCACCUGGCUGGCUCAGUUUGUGGCAUGUACAACUCUUGAUCUCGGGGUCGUGAGUUAAAGCUCCACAUUGGGCACAGAGCUUCCCCCCCAAAAAAAUAAUAAAAAUUUUUUUCUAAAAAAAAAAAAGAAAAAGAAGUCUUUCCCAAUGUUGAAAGUCAUGAAAGUGUCCUCUUAAAAUUUCUUCCAAUGUUCUAGAGUUUUAUCUUCCAUAUUUAAGCCUAUUCCAUUUGGAAUUUUUUUAUGUGUGGUGUCAGGGAAGAAUUCAAUUUCAUCUUUUUUCCCCCCAUAAAGAUUACCAGUUAUCUAGAUAGUCUUUCAUCAGUGACCUGAAUGACACCUCUGUCAUAUGUCAAGUAUUUGUGUGUGUAUGUGUGUGUUGGUAAGUUCUCUGUUACAUUCCAUUGGUCUCUCUACCAAUACUACGCGAUCUUUUUUUUUUUCCUUUUUCUACAAUCUGAAUAUAAUAGCUGUGUGAUAAGUUUUGAUAUUUGGUAGGAUAAUUCCUCCCUUCCCCCCUGCCCUGUACUGCAUCACUUACUGUUAGAUUAAUUAAAUGAAGAGGCCAUUUGGGUCUAAUGCCAUUGCAGCUUACAUGAGCAAAACAAAAUCUAAGUCUGUAAAUGCCUCAUGGUUAUGAAAUCAAAACACUAAGGACAACCAGUCACAAACAGCCAACUAGGCUUUAAGCUAUACCCAAUCAAUUAUUUCCUUACUUUGCAUCUCCAUUUCCUCUACAAGUCUUUCCCUGAGCUACUGUCAAUGGAGUGUUCAUAACCACUUGCAUUUUGGUGUUGUCUGAUUCACAUCAAUUUUUGCUCAAAUAAACUGUACAAAUUUUUAAUAUGCCUCACUUUAUCUUUGAACACUACCUUAUCUGACUUCUUCAAUUUGAGUUAGUUUAUAACUAGUCAGUAUUUUUAUAAUCUUGAGUUUUCCAUUAAAAUGAACAUGACAGAGGUGCUUGGGUAUCUCAGUCAGUUGAACAUCUGACUCGAUUUCAGCUCAGGUCAUGAUCUCGGUCACAGGAUUAAGCCUUGCAUUGGGCUCUGCAUUGGGCUCUGCACUGGGAGUAGAAUCUGCUUGAGAUUUUUUUUUUUUUAAUGUUUGUUUAUUUUUGAGAGAGAGUGAGUGGGGGAAGGGGCAGAGAGAGAGGGAUACAGAGGACCCAAAGCAGUCUCUGCAGUGCCGGCUGCCUGAUGUGGGACUCAAAUUUUUUUAUGUGUGGUGUGAGGGAAGAAUUCAAUUUCAUCUUUUUUUUUGAAAAAAAAAACUUGCAGUCCAUGACCUUAGCCAAAGUUGGACCCUUAACUGUCACCCAGGUGCUGCUCCUGCUUGAGACUCUUUCUCUCUUUACCUCUGCCUCUCCCCUGCUCACACGUACUUUCUCUCUCUAAAAUAAAAAUAAAUAACUAAACUAAACUAAAAUGAAUAUGACAUAUGUUCCCUUUUGUUUAGAGCUUCUUUAAUGUUUUUCAAUAAUUUAUCUUUUUUUUUUCUUAAGACUUUAUUUUUAAGUAAUCUCUGCACCCAACGUGGGACUUGAGUUUACAACCCAGAGAUCAAGAGUCACAUACUCUACCAACUGAGCCAGCCAGAUGCCCCUCAGAUACCAUUUCUGCAUGUAUUGGGAAGAUCACACGGUUUUUCUUCUUUAAUAUGUUUAUGUGAUAAACUGUGUGCAUGGAUUUUCUUUCUUUCUUUCUUUCUUUUUUAAUGUUUAGUCAUUUUUGAGAGAGAGAGAGAGAGAGAGCGCACAAGUGGGGUAGGGGCAGAGAGAGAGGGAGACACAGAAUCUGAAGUGGGCUCCAGGCUCCAAGCUGCUAGCACAGAGCCCGAUGUGGGGCUUUAACUCAUGAAUUGUGAGAUCGUGACCUGACCCAAAGUUGGACGCUCAACCAACUGAGCCACCCAGGAGCCCCUGGAUUUUCUAAUAUUAAAUGUAAUAAUAAACCAUUCUUGUAUAAACCCAACUUGGUCAUUAAAAAAAAUUCCCUUAUGAAAUAUUUAUUUAUUUAUUUAUUUAUUUAUUUAUUUAUUUAUUUAUUUUUAAAGUUUCUUGGGGUGCCUGGGGUGCUCAGUCAAUGGAGCAAGUGACUCUUGACCUCAGGGUUGUCAGUUCACGUCCCACAUUGGGUGUGGAGAUUACUUAAAAAUCUUUUUAAAAAAUAAUAAAAAUAAAUAAAUAAACUGGGGUUCUUGCAAACAACAUAAUUGAGUUGUAUAUUUUGGUCCACUCUUGACACUCUUAUGAAUUUUGUUUGCUAAUAUUUUGCUUAGUAUUUUUGUGUCUAUGUUUAUGGGCAAGAUUAGUCUCUUAUUUUUCCUUUCUUAUACUGUCCUUGUAUAGCUUUAGAGUCUCAAAUAUAUCAGCUGCAUUAAGUGGGUAAGAGAAUGUUGCCUCUCUUUUUAUAACUGGAAGAAUUUGUAUAAGAUUGGAAUAACUUUGGUUCUUUAAAGUCUGGAAGAUUAUAUCUGUAUAUCUUGGCUUGUGUGUGUGAAGAUAUUUUAAUGUACUGAUUAAAUUAUUUUUUAAAAAUAGGACUGCCCAAACAUUUUAUUUCUUCUUAAAUUAGUUUUAAGUUAAAUUUUCCAUGAAUUAUUUCAUUAUAUGUUUCCUAAUUAAAUGGCAUACAAUUGCUUAUAAUAUUUUAUCUUGUAAAAUGUUAUUUAUUUACAUCUAUCUUCUUUAUUUUUUUCUUUUCCUUAAUCCAUCUUUUCAGGGGUUGUCAAUUCUAAUAGUGUUUUUAAAUACCCAACUUUUGGCUUUUAAGAAGUUCCUUUGAUUAUAUUUGUGUUUUCUAGUUAAUUGAUUUAUUUUUUCCUUAUCACUUCCUUCUACUUUCUUUGUGUUUACUUUGUUGUAUUUUUUUUUCUUUUCUUUUCUUACUUUGUUGUUGUUGUUGUUGUAGUUGUAUUUUUUCUAAUUUCUUUAGCUAGAUGCUUAGGUCAACAACUUUUAGCUUCUCUUGUUUUCUCAUACAAGCAUUUAAAGGUAUACAUUUUCCUCUAAGGACUGGCUUAACUGUAUCCCACAAGUAUUUUCAAUUUUAGCAUUCUUUGGACCACAGUUGGGAUUACAGGUCUAGAUUGAUUUAUGGAGGAUAAAUUCAAUGUGUUGAACCCUUACUAAAUAUCUAAAUAUAGACCCCUAUGGUAAGAAUACUGCUGGCUUCUUUCCUUCUGCCUAUAACAUCAAGUACAUGUAUUGCAUAUUUUAGUUAUGACUUAUUCCCUCAAAGUUGCACAAACCUAAUAAUUUUCCCCUUUGAAAGGAUCUUAGAGCCAAUAGGGAUGAAAGUGCCAAUAACAUGCAAGGAAGCAAGUCAUAGAGAACAUGAAACUGGAGAGAAAUACUCUCAGCCCACCACAAAUACACUUAAGUACCAAGAUUAUAUUGGGGGACAUGGCAGUUUUUUAAAUAAACGUGUUUCGUAUUUGUUCUCUACUCUAGCCUGAAGGACAAACCAAAAAUUAUAGCUUACUAGUAAGUAAAAUGAAAAGGACAAGUUCUUCGGCCAAGAGUACCCUCAGUUCUUUGAACAUGUGUUUUGGAAUAACAGGGGCAGCUAUUCAUGUUUUGUGUAAUUAUGUUCAAGCUCUGAAUCUAUAAUUUGUUCUAAUUUUCUAUGAACACUCCCUUGCCACCAUUUUUUAAAAAAGUUUAUUUGAGAGGAAGAAAGAGAGAGAGCAUGAGUGGGGGGAGGAGAGGGGCAGAGAGUGAGAGAGAGAGAGAGAGAGAGAAUUCCAAGCAGGUUCCGCACUGUCAGCACAGAGCCCAACGCGGGCCUUGGUCCCACGAACCAUGAGAUCAUGACCUGAGCCAAAAUCAAGAGUCAGACGCUCAACUGACUGAGUCACCCAGGUGCCCCUCCCUUGCCACCACUUAUUCUCUGCUAUCCCACAAUUCCUAAGAUCUGUAUUAGAUGCAUAUUAUACGGGUAACUACAAACCUUUAGAUAAUUUUCUGUUAUUGUUACAAUGACCAGGAAAAAUGAAAGAGGAUUGUAUUGACUUAUAGAUCAUAUGUAUUUAUUUAAUCUUUAAAAAAAUCACAUAUUUUUAAGAAUUUUAUUUUAUUUUUUUUUAUUAAAAAAAAUUUUUUUUAACGUUUUAUUUAUUUUUGAGACAGAGAGAGACAGAGCAUGAACGGGGGAGGGGCAGAGAGAGAGGGAGACACAGAAUCGGAAGCAGGCUCCAGGCUCUGAGCCAUCAGCCCAGAGCCCGACGCGGGGCUCGAACUCACGGACCGCGAGAUCGUGACCUGAGCUGAAGUCGGACGCUUAACCGACUGAGCCACCCAAGCGCCCCAAGAAUUUUAUUUUAAAAUAAAAAUUGUAUCUAAAGUGUACAAGACACAAAAAUAAAGCACACAGCAUGGAGAUGCAAUAUACCUAAUGAAAUGAUGACUACAGUCAAGCUAAUUCACACAUCAUCUCCUCACAUGGUUACUAUUUCUGUGUGUGUGAGGACAGCACCUUUUGCAGUAAAUUCCCAUUAUUCAAUACAGUAUUAUUAAUUAUGGUCAUCAUGCUGUACAUUAGCUCUCUAGACUUAUUCAUUAUACAUAACUGCAACUUUGUUCUGAAUAUCUCCCCAUUUCCCCACCUUCCUGCUCCUGGUAACCACUGUUAUACUCUGCUUCUGUGCUAUAUGUUUGACUUUUUUAUAUUCCUAUGUAAGUGAGAUUGUACACUUUUCCUUCUCUGUUUGGCUUAUCUCAUUUAGUAUAAUGUUGCACAUGGCAGAUAUUAUCAUGUGUAUUUAUAUUAGGUUAAACCAUAUGAGAUUGCUGAUAUUUGAUCAUUUUUAACCUACAAAGAUAGCAAUUUCUUUUUUUUUUAAUUUUUUAAUUUUUUUUUUUUUUUUUUUUUUUUUUUUUUGAGAGAGAGAGAGACAUAAGCUGAGAAGGGUCAGAGAGAGAGGGAGACACAGAAUCCAAAGCCAGCUCCAGGCUCCAAGCUGUCAGCACAGAGUGUGACAUGGGGCUCGUACCCACGGACCGCGAGAUCAUGACCCGAGCCAAAGUCAGACAGUUAACUGACUGAGCCACCCAGAUGCCCCUUAACCUACAAAGAUAGCAAUUUCAUAUGGCUCAAUCCUGUAUAAUUAGAGCUUGAAUAGAAGCAGAUCUUAUGGCACGGUCAUAAAAGUUCCUUUUUCUACUAAGGGACAAAAAAAAAAAAAAUUGGAGAAAAUUAAAGAGCCACCAUAAGUAAUUGUGUCAUAUGUUAGUAACCGUAACAUUGAAUGCUACUAACUAACUUAAUGUUGAACUUUUGAGAAGCCUUUCAAGUCUGACUGUGAAAAAAGCCUUUUCUUUGCUUUCAGUCUAAAGGGGAAGAUCAGUGGUGUUUCCAAUGUUUUGGCACACUAGUAAAUGGGCUUUGUUUCCUUUUUAAAAAGUUUUUAAAAUUUUUUUAAUGCUUACUUAUUUUUGAGAGUGAGCGAGCAGGGGAAAAGCAGAAAGAGAGGGAGACAGAGGAUCUAAAGCAGGCUCUGUGCUGUCAGUGAAGAGCCCAGUGCAAGUCUUGAACUCCUAAACCGCAAGAUCGUGACCUGAGCCGAAGCUGGAGGCUUAAUCUACUGAGCCAUCCAGGAGCUCUGCUUUGUUUCUUUUUUUUUAACAGCUGAGGGAAAAUGACUGAAAAGGGGAGUCAGAAGCAAAGCUGAAAGAAUAAUUAUUACAAAGAGCCAAGCUAAAUUCACUAAUUCACUGUCAGGCAGUUUUCACUGUCUUACAAAGAAAUAAGGCUAUUGCUGUUUGAAGAAUCUCAAACUCAGAUGUUCCAGAGUGCAUGCUGUUAAUGCCAUUUGUCCCCUAGAACAGUUUUGUUUUUGAGUUGCUGCAGUCUUGUCCUCUGGCAUCACGUGGUCCCAGCAUCUGCUCUGCCUUCCCUUUGGGUAUCACACUAAGACACACCUUCUUAGAAAUUAUGGAUCUGAGUUUUUCACAGUGAGGAAAUGCUAUCCCUAUCUUCCCUUUACUUAAUGCUUGAGUCUCUCUCUCUCUCUCUCUUUUUUUUUUUUUUUAACUCUGAAAAGCAGGAGGAUCCAGAGCUUUGCAUGUUGGUCAGUGAAUGGGGUAUACUCUGAUAAUGUGAGAACAAAGUCAGAAAAUGGGAUUCAGUGAAACAGGUGAUGGUAAUUACCAAUGUAACAUGCACAAGAUUGGCCAUUGGUGGAAACAAAUCAGAAAUGACACGGCCUUGGAUCCAAAUCUUGGCUCUACGACUUAUUAGCAGGGUGACUUUGGCCAUGUCAUUUAACCCCAUGCCUCAGUUUCCAUAGCUGUAAAAUGGGAAUAACAGUAUAUCUAUCUAAUGGGUCUCCUUGGUGGCUCAGUCGGUUGAACAUCUGACUUUGGCUCAGGUCAUGAUCUCACGGUUCGUGGGUUCGAACGCCACAUUGGGCUCUGUGCUGGCAGCUCAGACCCCGGAGCCUGCUUCGGAUUCUGUGUCUCCUUCUCUCUCUGCCUUUCCCUCACUCAUGCUCUGUCUUUCAAAAAUAAAUAAAUGUUAAAAAAAAGUUUUUAAAAAGUAUAUCUACCUUAAAGGAUGUUGAGGAUUAAAUGAAUUAAUAUAUGUAAAAUAUUUAGGACAGUGCAUGACAUGUGGUAAGUAAUAUGUAAAUGUUAACAAAAAAAGAAAAAGAAAGAAAGAGAAGAAAGAAAAAGAAAAUAGGAGCUCUGGAUUUUUGCUCACGGACAGGGUAUCUCUCUGACACCCUUCAGUAAACUGGACAGUUUAGCCAUCCUUCCCUAAGCCUUCCAUCCUGCACGAGGCCACGACAGACCUUUGUCAAAAUCCCUUACACAUUUAUGAAAUUUCUUCUUUUUUUGACAAGAGAUGGUGGGAAAACAAGUGUUCUGCGGGAGGGCUCUGAUCCUCUGAGGAGAAAGCAGUCCCUCUGUGCCAAGUGUGCUCUUGGCCAGCAUGCUCUGCAGCCAAGGGUGCUGGCCACGUGACUGGAAUCACCUGAAAGAUCUUCCAGACGUUCCCACUGGACUGUGCUACCAGCAGCAGCCACCGUGCAUCCAGUCUGCAUCGCUGCACAUUGGUCUGGGCGGAAGUGGAGGCUGGCGGGAGGACGGUGGGGAAACAUACAACUGAGCCCCCUGUCUGUAAGCACACACACUUACACAGCUUUUCAUUUUGAGGAGCUGACUGGAACUCUGUAAGGAACUACAAGAAAAAUAGCUAAAGCUGAAGCAGUGACUUGGAGCAGUGGUUUUUCAAAGUGUGCUAGCGGGAUCAUUAUCUGCACUGGCAUCACUAGGGAAUCUGUUUUAACAAGCCUUCCUGGUGAUUGUGAUACUCAACUCAAGUUUGAGAAGCCCAGGCCUAGAGCUACAGUAGCUGUGCCCCUCCCCCCAUUCUCCGUCUCUAUUUCUCUCCAUCCUCAUGGUGUCAGUGUCUUGGUCAUUGUCCCCCUUACCACACACCCAACAUCCCUUUUAAGAAAAAAGGGACUGAUUAGAUCUUUCCAAGCUAUUAUGCCUACGUGAGCCCUCAGAGAACCAGGAGAGGGGAUUUGGCGUUUUCUCUCCUUGGAGAUGAGAGGUUGCAAAACCGCUUUCUUUCUGCAGGUGAAAAUUAGAUAAUCAGGCUUCAUUUAGAAGCCCAGCAGGCUUUAUAAGCCUCAUUCUCUCCAGGCACAAAAAAGCCUAAGGGAAAGAAGCUGAGUGGUUUAUCCCUGAUGAAGGAGGCUAGCCCAGAUUGCCCCAACUAAAGAACUGAAAGGGCUUGAAGAUGCAUUGCUUUGAACCAGUGAGACCUUUUUCCAUUCUUCUAUAAGAUUUAGCACCUAGGAUUUCCCCCAGAGACCUUAGGUGUGAUCCUUUGACACACAGUUUGACGUGAACCUAUCAUCUAUAAUUCUGUGGAGGAAACCCGUGGAACCCACGGGCACAGGUGCCCAAGCAUCCGUCUGGCCUCCCACUUUGGGAAGGGUAAAGGGGUGUUCCCUUCAGCUGCCCCUCCAGAGGGCUUGCUGUGGCAAAAAAAGGGCUGAGCCCAGAAGUGUGCAUUCCUGGAGCUUUGAGCUGUCAGUCUUCUCUAGUUCUCCCGAUGAGUUGAUAGAUGAAUGAAAUGAGAUACAGAAUGGUUAAGGAAGGUUCUUGAUUACCCAGUUUGCCAGUGGCUGAGUUUUUGUUUUUUAUACAGGAAAAUUAUAAUAAGGUAGAACUUUACUACUAUCUUGUGGGUUAAUGAUGUCCAACAUAGUAGCUACCAGCCACAUGUAGUUAUCUUAAAUUAAUUAAAAUUUAAAAAUUCAGUUCGGAGGGGGGGGGUGCUCACCUGGUUGAGCGUCUGACUUCGGCUCAGGUCAUGAUCUCGAGGUUUGUGAGUUUGAGCCCCAUGUUGGGCUCGCUGCUGUCACACAGUCCAAGCAGAGCCCUCUUUGGAUCCUCUGUCCCCCGCUCUCUCUGCCCUUCCCUUGCUUGUGCUCUCUCACAAGAUAAAUAAAACAAAAUUCAGUUUUUUAUUUGCACUUAGCCACUUUUUAAGGGCUCAGUAGCUGCAUGUGGCUAGUAGCUACCCUAUCAGAAAGUGCCAUACAGAAUAUUUCCAUCACUGCAGAAUGUUCUGUUGGAUGCACUGGUCUAAAGUGAUUGUUGUUGUAAAUUGAUAUAUGUCCUACAUAAGUCGUUUGAAUCAUUGGCUUGUUUCCUUUGUCUCAAAAGAUAUUGCCAAGAAAAAGAGGGUAACACUCCGACCUCCAGCAGACUGAACUAACACAAAAGUCACUGGCAUGCAGGGCAAGCAUACAAAUGGAGGCACAUUCCAAGCGUCUAAGUAUUUAAAAACUAUAAAUCAAGCUAACAACUGGGAACGGAUCCUCUUCAUGCAGCGGUCAAGUGAGAAACUGGAGAGUUUCUUGGAAAAUACUCCCAUCUUCCACCUUCCUUUGAGCCUCCUGCUCUGGUAAAAUGUCAUGCAAGGAAAGGACGGGGUCUUUGUUUUGACUGGCUAAAGUGGUCUCCUGCUAGGAGCUGAGGGCAAGAAUAUAAGAUUACUUACCAAGAUAUCUUCCUGGGAGCCCUCUGGUAUUAUGAUCACCUAACCCUUCUGUAAAUUGCCUUUAAUUCUCUCUGCCAAUAGGACUUUCCCAAUAAGCCAGGGCAAGUGAGAAGGAUAAAGUUGUAAAAACAAAUGCAAAACCUAUUUUCUAGCCUCUACUUGCUUUGAGGAUCCAGAUUUAUUUUUUCUUUUAUUUUUUUCUUUUGUUUUUAAUUUUCCUUAUUAUUCUUUCUUACAAACCCUUGUGUCCAGGGCUGACUUUCAAUAGAUCACAGCGAGGGAGCUGCUCUGCUAUGUAGGAAACCCCUUCUGCCCAGAAGCAGGUCUUCUAUGCAUGGCUUAGCACCAGGCUCCCCACAAACCCCCUGUUGCCUGGCAGGUGAGGGGGUGGCCCCCUUCCAGCUGCUCCCCUUUCCCGGGUGGAGGGGCUCUCCACAUUGAUCGCGAUGGGGCACACCCGGGAGGGAUGGCUGGGCACCCGCUAUCCCUGGCCAACACAAGUCCCCCGGCGCUGCGGGUUAUCAAUUCUGCUUGGGCCGGAUUCUGACUUAGAGGCGUGGAAUCACAAUCCCACAGAUGGUAGCUUUGCCCCAGACAAUCCAGAUUUAAAUGAUAGUAAUAAAUUCUUUACCUAUUGAAAACAAUAACAAAAUAUUUUUAACCUUCUCUAUCUUUGUGCUUCCAAUCCUUUUGAGUUUGAAUUCUCUAUACAAACUCAUGAUUGCUUACACCAGUGUCUGAGUACCCUGUAAUUCUUAUAUCUCUGGGUGUAGUUGUUACAGAAAAGUGAUGUCCACCCCCACACCCCUCCCCCCCCAAAAAAGAAAGAAAAGCGAUGUCCGAUAUGGUGGCCACUAGUAAGCGGCUACUGAGAACUUGAAAUGUGACUGAUCUGACUUGAGAUGUAUUCUAAGUGUAAAAUACACAGUGCAUCUCAAAAAUGUAGUACGUGUGGUAGAUUCUAAAAUAGCUCUCAAUAACCCUUGCUUCGCACCUGUAUGGAAUCCCCUCUUCUUUGAAUGUGGGAAGGGCCUGUAUCUUCCUUCUAACAGAAUAUGGCAAAAGUGAUGGGAUGUCACUUCCACAAUUAUGUUACAUAGAUUGUAAUUUCCAUCUUGCCAGCAGACUAUUUCUGUUAACUCUCCUUUGCUGGCUUUGGUGAAGUAACCCCCUCUUUGGAGAGACCUGUCUGGCGAGGAACUCAGGAAAACCUCCAGCUGGCAGUCAGCAGCAAGAUGAGCCCCUGAGUCUGGUAGCCCACAAGGAACUAAAUCCUGCCAAUAAUUGUGUGAGCCCGGAAGUGGAUACAUCCCCAUUCAAGCCUCACAUGAGACCCCAGUCCUGGCUGACAUCUGGAUUGCAGUGUCAUAAGAGAUCUUAAAGCAGAGGACCCACUAAGUUAGGCACAGAUUUUCUGACCUACAGAAAUUAUGAGAUAAUGUGUUCUGGUAAACUGCUAAGUUUGUAGUAAUUUAUUGUACUACAGUAGAUAACUAAUACAGAACCAAAAAGAAGAAUGUCAACUAUCUCAUUGUUAAUUGUUUAAUAUUGAUUACAGGUUGAAAUGAGAGUGUUUUGGAAUAUAUUGGGCCAAAUAGAAUAUUUUACCAAAAUUUUACCUUUUUUUUUUCUUUUUUACUUUUUUAAUGUGGGUACUAGAAAAUCUAAAUAUGUGGCUUGCAUUAUAUUUACACUGGACGGCACUGGCAUAGAACUCCAAGGAGACAAGAACUUCCUGUAGUUUAUGCAGCCCAGCAUCCUGGAGGGAGUUGGUUGUUACAUCCUUAGCAUCACCCUGUCACUUCCUGGGGCAUGCUACUGAAACAGAAAAUAGUCUGUCACUUCUGGAAAAGAUUGAUUCACCCUUUUUGAAGAUGGGGGAAGCUGUUGUAUAAUUUUUGCCCAGAGGUGAAAUCUGCUUAGUCUUCUUACUUUUGGAUGCUGCCUUCAGGGUUUAAUUUGUUUCAAAUUAAGAGCAGGUGGCAGAUGCAAUUAAAGGGAAGAAAACAAUUGCAAAUUAAGCACGAUUUUUAAAACUUAUUUGCAAUGGCAGCAACACAUUCAGGGAAUAAAUGCUAAUUAUUUUGAAUUAUUUGUUUACUCAUUGUGUCAUAUGUGUGCCAUUUACUGAUUAAUGCUUUACUACUUAUGCCACAUCCUUUAUUGCUAAUUAAUAACGCUAAAAUGUGGGGUCCCUAGCUGGCUCAGUCAGUAGAUCAUGUGACUCUUGAUCUCAGGAUCAUGAGUUCAGGCCCUACCUUGGACAUGGAGCCUACUUUAAACAAACAAACAAACAAACAAACAAACAAACAACAGGGGCGCCUCGGUGGCUCAGUCGGUUAGGCUUCUGACUUUGGCUUAGGUCAUGAUGUGCUGACAGCUCAGAGCCUAGAGCCUGGUUUGGAUUCUGUGUCUCCCUCUUUCUCUGCCCCUCCCCAGCUCACACUCAGUGUUUCUCUCUCACUCAAAAAUAAACAUUAAAAAAAAAAAAAAGAAAAAGAAAAAUUACCUAAAAUGCUAUGACUAGUGAGUCUGAUAUACCCCCUCUAGAGGGUCUGAUUUCCUCCAGGCCUAUGUGCCCACUCCCCAGGAAAUUGCUGCUGUCAGAGCUAUUGAUGUGAAUGUAGGUUUUUAUAACCCUCCAGUGUGUUGGAAGAUAAAAUAUGUAGGUUGCUGAGAAUAGCUAGGAGGUAACCAAGACAUUGCAUAGAGUAACUAAUUGUUGUAACUUUAAACUUAAUAUAUUAUAUUAAUAUAAUAUAUAUAAUAUAAUUGUAUGUAAUUAUAUAAAUAUAUUAAGAUAUUUGUAUCUUUUAGAGGAGAGUUUGAGAAAUUCAGGGAAGAGUGAGGAGCUUCCUGUAGCAGCACCAUUCAACAUGUCCUCAGUUAUCUUAAGCAAAUUAACCAGCAAAACAAAACAAACAUCAAAACAGGUUAACAGUUUUGAUAUUAAUUCAUUCAAGUAGUUCCCCAAGUGUCUAUCAAAUACUUCUUCAAACCACAUACAGAAUUCUCUGGAGAGGAGGGUUUUAAAUAAAAUAUUUUCUUUCUCAUUAUACUAUUAGUGAUGCAGUAGAGUCCCUCGUAGAUUGGUGCACUUGGCACUGUUUGGCAGUCCUCGCCCUUAAUUUGACUCUGGUCAGUCAUAAGCAUAUAUGAAUGAACCUCACUCAAAUGAAUCUCUAGUGAGCAGAUGCUUUUUUAAUAUAUGAAAAGUGCUAACAAUAAAGUGAGAACAAAACAGGAUGAGCCUCUCAGCUGAUUCAAGGACUUAUUAGCUUGAUACCCAAAGAUAUGUGGAAAACUAACACCUAUCAUAAAUAUUCUAAUUUCAAAAAUGUACUUGAACCAGGAUGUGUUGCCCUGUUGAGGCUGAAGGUGAUUAGGGGACCAAGUUCACACCUCAGGGCAUCAUAUCUCGUAAUAAUACUGUGUGUAGUAUAACUCCAAGAUUGAAGAAGUACUCCAGGAUUAGUGGAGGUGGCCUCUAGUACUUGUUCAGAGGAGUUAAUGUGCCAAAGUUUUUUAGCCUUAUGUAUAUGACUGGGUGUUCAGAGAGACCAUUAAGCUUCUUGAAGGUGUGAUUUCACCCACAUUCACCCAGGUUUUUUCAUCUGUAAUUGUGCACCCCCAAGGAGGAUUUCAGGAUCUAGAAACAUGUUCUGACUAUCCCGGAAAAUACUGUAAUUCUCUGCUUUGAAGCCUGACUGCACUGACAUGCUUCUGUAUCCUUUCAAUAAUGGACUCUAUUUGAUCUAACCGAGUGACAUCUUAGUUUAGUGUCUCCUCACCCUGAGCACACUCUUGACAUGUCACUUCUGUGGACAGGAAGAACGUAUAAAGAACAAUUCAUAAAAGGAGAAUUCCAAAUGGUUAAUAAAUGGCUAAAAGAAAAAGUUUAAUCUCAGGGACAAUAAAAAUGCAAAUAAAAAUGACAUCCCAGUUUAUAGCAACACUAUCAACAAUAGCCAGGGGCACCUGAGUGGCUCCAUCAGUUAAGCAUCCAAUUCUUGGUGUCAGCUCAGGUCAUGAUCUCACUGUUCCUGAGUUCAAGCCCUGAGUCGGGCUCUGUGCUGACAGUAUGGAGCCUGCUUGAGAUUCUCUCUCUCCCUCUCUGUGCCCCUCCCUUGCUCAUGCUCUCUCUCUU